GCUCCCCGCUGCCCAGCUCGUCCACGGCCGGCGAGGCCUGAGGCGGUGAGGUCUGACCUGCGGUCUCGGGGUCAUGUUCAUCAGGACAGCCUGCCCCGUUGAGGUUUUGCCGUGUGGUCUGUCCUGCUACCCGAGCACAAGGAGGUCUUCCUGAAGGGCCCACCCAGACCCAAAAUGUCCCAGAACCUCCAGGGGCCGCCGCCCAGCUUGUAUUCGCUGCCUGAGCCUUGCUAUGUACAAGGGUAGGGACAUCUGUCUGUCCAGGCGGGGACAAGCCACCUUCAGCCGACUGACCAUGGUCCCCACUGCUGCUUGAUGGGGCUGACACUUCCCGAGGGCCCCCGCUCGCCCCCUGGGGCUGUCUGCAGGUCUGGGGCCGGCCCUGGAUCAGGCAGGUCACUGAGGGUGGGACUCGACUGUGAGUGAGAGUCUGUAUGGCCCCUGCCUGUGGCAUUGCAGGCCCUGUGUCCCCGCGUCAGUCGUCAGCUCUCCUAGCAGAGUGAGCCUCACUUCAUGUUGCCCUCGGGCUUGGGCCCCAGGAUGCAGUGGGCUGCAUGCCCACUUGACGUGGUAGAGUUGUUUUUAGAGCCAGCAGGAGCGGGCCACCGAGGAGCCCAUUGCCCCAGUGUGGGACCCCAGGUCACUACCAGUGUUUUGAGCAUCUUGGCUUCAAGUCCUGUAUGUGGUCCACAGUCCCUCAAUCCUCAGAACUUUGCAUUUACAGCCUCCGCAUUAGUAAACCUGGACCAGACGUUCAGAAGUUAGUCUGAGGUGAUGUAACAAAAACAGUAAAAGGAGCUACUCAGAUGCCUAGCAGCGUUGGAACUCUUAUUUUGAGCUGUUGGCCCCGUAGUGAUUCACGUGGGGAAAGCUGACUGUGUGGGCCGCUCUUGUAAAGACCCGUACCAGGAGACUUGUGCUCCCUGCAUCGCUGCUGAUGCCUCUGCUCUGCAUCGCUUGUCACCAGACGGAGCGCCUCUGGCCAGCCUGGUCCCUUGUCACCAGACAGAGAGCCCCUGGUCACUCACGACCAGACGGAGUGCCCUGGGCAGGCUGGUCGCCCUCUUUGAAUGAACCGGAUGUGGGCGUCCUUUUCUGGGCUCUUCACCAUUUGCCUUCAGUUCUACCGCUUCUUGGGCAGCUGAAUCAGCCCACAGUUUUCAUUCCUGUGUUUAUCGCACUGAGACCCCUCUGUUCCCGCAAGAGCCAAGGGGAGGUGAGGGUUCGGCUUGUGGUUGUUCUCUGGUAUCUUUGCGUCCUUCCAGACACUGAGGUGACAGUCUCGGCUGGCUUGCCACUGCUCUGUGAGCUGUGUGUUUCCUGCUGAAAACGUGUGUGUGAAGAUCGUGAAGCAAGCACAGGUCAUUUUCAUUUUUGGGCCAGACUGCCUCCUGCUGAGCCGUCACGUCGCCUUCCCUCACGUGUGGGGGCGACAGCUGUGCAGCGUGCCCUCUCUCACCACUUUUGGACUCGUGUGUUCCCUGUGCUGUGGGCGUGUGGCAGGGUCAGGUGUCGGGGCGGCAGCCUGGACGUGGAUGGACACAUGGAGACGCUCCCUCCCCACGGCCAGCCCCAGUCCAGCGGCCUGGAGCAGUAGGACUGUGCUGGGGGUGGGCAGGCCUCCUAGGCCCCCUGUGGGUGCUCGGUCCCCAGCAGACAUAGCCCCUGGGCUGGAUUCUUGUCCUGCCCACACAGCCUGCUCCCGUCUGUCGUGGCCGAUCAGCAAGCAGCCGUCACCGCUGGGAGGGAGCCUGUCCUUGGCACUCCUUCUCGAACUGCUGCUUCUCCUGUUGCAUUGGGUCUCGGGGGUCUGAUUAGACCCUCAAUGUGGGAGGCCCCGGAGGCUGUGCAGUUGGAGAAGCCCGAUCAGGCCUGCGGGGUCGAAGUGAACUGCCCACCUCACCUGCAUUUCCUGUUGGGGGUGGGAAGCAGGAGGCCCUGCCCUGCACACCCACACCUCUGAUGGCUGGGGUGGUGGGGGCAGGAGUGUUGAUGGGUGGGUGGGUGCAGCUCCUGCCUGGACCUAUCAGCCAGGCUUCCCUGGGGUGGAGCCAGAGCCCCUUGGAGGCAGCUCGGGGCCAUAGUAGCCAGAUGUUUCUGGAGGGAUGGAGGUUGGAGGCAGGGACUCGCACUGCUUCUGUUCCUGGGAGGCCGUGGCACAGGGCAAGCAGGACCCACCCCGGAGGGCCUGCCCAGCAGCUGCACAGACACCAGCUGCAGUGGGUUUCCUUAAAUGUGCUUCUAGCACAGGGCGUAGCGUUCCUGAGUACCUGCUGUGUGCUGGGCAUUGAGCUCAUCUGGAGGCCCAAGGGCAACCCCUGACCUGCUUCCAGGGAGCACAUGUCUCCCAAGAAGGGCUUCUGGGGGGCUACGCUGUCCAUGAGUCACAUUCUCCACCGCUGUCUCCACAAAGACACGGGCAGACUGCCGAGGCGCCCAGGGUGAGCCGUGUGGCGGUUCCACGCUGAGGGGCCAGCCCCGGAGGCCUGGACCGCUGCCCCCUCCUCCCAGCACUCACCUGUCACCCACCGCCAGCAGUGAGCAGUGCUCAGAGGUUUUCACCAGGGGAGAAGCAGGCUAGUCCUGCAGGAGCGAGCCUAGUGCUGCUGUUAAGGAGCUGACCGUGUUUCCUGCAGAACGAGGUGGAGCCCAACCCAGGGUGCUCUCAAGAGACGGACGUCAUGGAGAGAGGUUGACACAGGCUGGACCGCAGGCCCCCUGUGGUCAGGGGAAUCCCCAGCACUGAUCUCAGUAUCUUCUUCAGAGGAGCCAGGUGCAAUGGGAUUGGUCUGAGAAGGAGCUUCUGCCCAGGGCAUUGUUGAAAACCAGUCUGCCAGCUGUGAGUGGAGUUUAACCGCUGGGUGCGGGCAGGGACCACACAGUCAGAGCUUUGCCAAAACCACUGCCAUGGGGUGGAGGUACCGUGGGCCUUCCUGAGGCUGUGCCCCUGGGAAGGAGCGUCAGGGACUGAGGGGGUGCCCCUAAGAUGACCCAGCCAGUAAGACAUGAGGCAGAGAAGAAUGUAAGUCCCAGUCUGGGGUGACCAGUACCCAGAGCUGGUAUGAUACAUGACCUAAAAUGGCCAGUUUCCAAUCCAAAAUUACAAACACAAAGAAACAGAGAAAUACGACCACAUACCAUAUUGUUCCUAAAACGCAGGUGACAGUGAGAUGUUGGAUUUAACAGGGAAAGACUUCAAAUUGACCAUUACAGAUACAGUCAGAGAACUAGAGGAAACCAUGAUUAAAGAAGUUAAGGGGGGAAAGGAAGAUAUUAAGUAGAGAAAAUCAGUAAAAAGAUGAUAAAUAAAAAGCUGUUUUUAAAAACAUGGAAAUUCAACAAUGGAGUUGAGAAGUACUGUAAGAUGAUGGAUUUGCCAGAGGGCUCAGCAGUAGAUGUGAACUCGUGGGAGAAAGAGUUCGUGAUCUUGAUGGCGCUUGAGAGAUGAUGCUGUCCAAAGAACAGGGUGAAAAGACCACGCUGGGUGGUCUCAGAGUGGUGUGGGACGGUCUCGCCCACCGCCCGGAAUGGGAGGCCGGGUGGGGCAGCAGCCUGGGCCUCCAUCUCAGCUGGAGCGCCUGCCACCUCCCACCUACCCGGGCUUGCUGGGUGCACGGCCCUCAAAGGUGAAGGCCAGUCCAGGCGGGUGGACGGUCCCCACGACGGCCCCAUUUCACGGAGGUGUCCUGAGGCCCGCUGCCGGCCACGGGCUUCCCAGUCAGUGUGCUCACCUCUGUGGGCCUGGGGCAGGAGGGGCUCCUUGAGCAGUGCCAGGAGGGAAGAGAAGGCUGGAGACACCAGGUUCGGUGGAGGGUGGCCGCAUCACUCUGGCAGUGUUAGCAGGCGCACAAGCCCAGCAAGAGGGCCCGGGCCUGAAACUGGCUUGCAGGCCAGAGUCCCAGCAGGGGGCCCCGGGUGGCCCCUGGGUCUGGGUGUCACUAGCUGCCCCUGCCCUCCCACAGGCCCAGCUGUGAGGUUGGUCACCCCUCUGCCACAUCCUCUCGAGAGACAGUUUCCUGGCCUGGGGACAAAGUGUGUGUGGAUGUGGAAGCUGCCAGGAGUUGCAACAGCCCCACAGACCCUUUCAGACAAGGGGCUGGCUUUGUUCUGUCUCUGGGGGCUGUGCAGCGCCUUCUGGGGGACUUGAGAGAGUGCAGGUGGCCCCAGCCUAGAACCUUGAAGGAGCUGGAGGGUUCCUGAGCAGCCAGGGGUCUGCUGUGCGUGGCUUGGGUGAACCCUGACGCUGGUCCCUCACUGAGUCCCGGUUCUUGGACCCACUCCUGCAUUCUGACCCUGGUUGCGGGCUGAGCCCCCAUUCUGGCCCAUGUGCACUCUCAGCUCCCAAGGAGGGCAAGACCAGGGAGUCUGGAACACGUGUGGGACUCACUUGUACCCUGGGGGAAGGCGAGAGCCUUUGUGACCUCGCCCCUCCUCCCCCACGUGUGACGUGGCGCUCUCUGUGACCACACACGCGCCCCCACCCCCACCCCCCACCGCCUCUACCCCGGCUCCAGGCCCUGCUGAUAGUGGUCCCGGGGGCGGAGAGUGACUGUGUGGCUGACUCACAGCAGGGUGGAAGCCUGUGUCAACUUGCCCACAUCUCUGCAGCUCCCCAGUAAGCCUUGGAGGAGGCCCUGCUCCCCAUCUCCAGAUCAGGAUCCCUGGAGCACAGGUGAGGUAGUCUGGGUGCAGGUUCUGGCCCCAGGUCCCAGGCUCACUCUCCACCUCCCCCCAUCCUGAGCAGCGGGCCUGCAACCGGGCCAGCAGCUUGUCAAGAGCCGAGGCCCCUCCUGCAGCAAAAGGGCCAGGGGCAGCCAGAGGGUCUAAGGAGGCAUCUGUUAGCUCAGGAAGCAGCGUGGGCCCGAGGGUUCUCCUCAGAGGAGGCUCAGCUGCAGUCUCCAGUGAGUGGGCGUCCGUCCCCCAUUUAUUAAUAAAGCAGAGUAGUGAUGUCACUGGCGUGCUCAGCGAGCCUGCCACGCCACUGGCCGACACUUCCUAAUUAGGAAAACGGAGUCCAGCUGUCCUUGGGAGGCUCCACAGUAGAUGGCAUGAGGCCUUGAGUGGCUGCCGUCUACUGGCCUCAGGUGUCUGAUCUGCCCCGCCAUCCCGUAAGGGGGUCUGGCCAGGAGGUGUGGUGCCCCUUGGCAGUGAGGCUCCGGAGAUGGUGAUGCUGGUGAGGAUGGUGGAGGUUAUGGUGGUGGUUGUGGCAGAGAUGACCAGUUGUGGUGCUGGAUGAAGACACUGGUGAUGGGGUUGCUGUGGUCUGGAUGUUUGUAUACCCCUCCAGAUUUAACUGUUGAAAACCUAAGCCCCAAGCUGACGGUGUUGGGAAGCGGGGCCUUUGAGAGGUGGUCAGGUGGAGCCUUGAACUGGAUUAACACCCAUAACAGAGACCCCAGAAGGCCCCUCGCCUCUUGCAUCAUGUGAGGACACAGCAAAGUCUGCCGUCCACAGCCAGGAGGGCUUUCACCAGAACCCAGCCACUCCGGCACCCUGACCUGGGAUUUCCAGCCUCUGCAAUGGUGAGGAAUAAAUUUCUGCAGCUUGUGAGCCACCCUGUCUGUGGUAUAGUUAGAGCACCCCGGAUUGGAAGAAGGCAGGGAUGAAGUAGCAUGGUGGCAAAGGCACUGGUGGUGGUGCAUGGGGCAGUGAGGAACGCACGGGGCAGUGAGGAACGCACGGCGUCAGUGGUGUGGUGGUUGGCGAGGUGGUGGUUUUCAUGGUGGUGGCAAUAUUGAGGAUGGCAGGUGAUGUGAACUGAUCUGUGUCCCUCCCCCAUUCAUAUGAUGAAGCCCCCAGCAUGACAAUGUUCGGAGGCAGGGCUUUCAGGAGGUAAUUGAAGUUAGAUGAGGUCAUAAGAGUGGGGCCCUUUUCCAAUAACUAAUGCCUAUACCAGAAGAGGAUGAUGGCUUUCAAUUCCCCUCUUUCUCACAAACCAAGAAAAGGCCUUGUGAGAACACUUCAAGAAGAUAGCCGUCUACCAGCCAAGAGAACUCUCGCUAGAAACCUGAUGGACUGACACCCUGAUCUUGGACUUGCCAGCCUCCAGAAUUGUGAGAAAGAAAUAAAUGUCUGUUGUUUAAGUUGC